AUGGAACAAUGUAGGCAAGGGAAGUCGGCAAAACGGAUCCGUAACUUCGGGAAAAGGAUUGGCUCUGAGGACUGGGCUCGGGGGUCCCGGCCCCGAACCCAUCGGCUGUCGGCGGAUUGCUCGAGCUGCUCACGCGGCGAGAGCGGGUCGCCGCGUGCCGGCCGGGGGACGGACCGGGAAUCGCCCCUUCGGGGGCUUUCCCCGAGCAUGAAACAGUCGACUCAGAACUGGUACGGACAAGGGGAAUCCGACUGUUUAAUUAAAAAACAUUGCGAUGGUCCUCGCGGAUGCUGA
rnacentral:rRNA from 1 species